rnacentral:tRNA from 1 species
CGUCAGGUAGCUUAGUAGUCUAGAGUAGUCGCCCGGCAAGCGAAAGACCCGGGUUCGAUUCCCGGUCUAGCGA